rnacentral:rRNA from 1 species
UACGAAGGGGGCUAGCGUUGCUCGGAAUCACUGGGCGUAAAGGGUGCGUAGGCGGGUUUUUAAGGCAGGGGUGAAAUCCUGGAGCUCAACUCCAGAACUGCCUUUGAUACUGGCGACCUUGAGUUCGGGAGAGGUGAGUGGAACUGCGAGUGUAGAGGUGAAAUUCGUAGAUAUUCGCAAGAACACCAGUGGCGAAGGCGGCUCACUGGCCCGAUACUGACGCUGAGGUGCGAAAGCGUGGGGAGCAAACAGG